AGUCGGUGAUAUGGGUUCGACCGUUCGGCUGGUUGGAAAUAGUAUUGGUCUGUUUGACCGACAUACCUUCGAUCGGAUAUUGUCGGCAGUCAUUGUCGGAGUUGUCUGUCUGUCCGGUGGGUAGAGUCGGGCGUCGGUCGGAUCAGUCCGAGGAUAAGUCGGCGUACGGGGGUCAGUCGGUAUAUCCCAACAAGGACCAUGCAAUGGCUUCUAUCCUGUCUUAUGGUCCAUGACCACCACCACAUGGGCUGAUCACUGGGAGGUCAUAAUAGUGGAGACCAUUGAAGAUUCAAACUCCUUCCUUAGCAUCCAGCACUACUCAGUUGUAACCGAGAUGAAGCCCGUCCGUUGUAGAAGUUCAUCUGGAAU
rnacentral:lncRNA from 1 species